GGACGGGGGGGAGCUAUACAUGCAAGUCGAGCGCGGGAAGCAAGCAGAUCUCCUUCGGGAGUGACGCUUGUGGAACGAGCGGCGGACGGGUGAGUAACACGUGGGCAACCUACCUGUAAGACUGGGAUAACUCCGGGAAACCGGGGCUAAUACCGGAUGAAACAAAGCGUCGCAUGACGCAAUGUUAAAAGGCGGCAUAUGCUGUCACUUACAGAUGGGCCCGCGGCGCAUUAGCUAGUUGGUGAGGUAAAGGCUCACCAAGGCAACGAUGCGUAGCCGACCUGAGAGGGUGAUCGGCCACACUGGGACUGAGACACGGCCCAGACUCCUACGGGAGGCAGCAGUAGGGAAUCUUCCGCAAUGGACGAAAGUCUGACGGAGCAACGCCGCGUGAGUGAUGAAGGUUUUCGGAUCGUAAAACUCUGUUGUUAGGGAAGAACAAGUGCCAUUCAAAUAGGUUGGCACCUUGACGGUACCUAACCAGAAAGCCCCGGCUAACUACGUGCCAGCAGCCGCGGUAAUACGUAGGGGGCAAGCGUUGUCCGGAAUUAUUGGGCGUAAAGCGCGCGCAGGCGGUCCUUUAAGUCUGAUGUGAAAGCCCACGGCUUAACCGUGGAGGGCCUUUGGAAACUGGAGU
rnacentral:rRNA from 1 species